GAAAUGCGAUAAGUAAUGUGAAUUGCAGAAUUCCGUGAAUCAUCGAAUCUUUGAACGCACAUUGCGCCCCCUGGUAUUCCGGAGGGCAUGCCUGUCCGAGCGUCAUUGCAAACCCUCAAGCACGGCUUGUGUGAUGGGUCCUGGCGUCCACCCCUCUAAGCGUAGGGGGUGGACGGGCCCGAAAGGCAGUGGCAGCGUCGCGGUGAUCCGCUAAGCCAGAGCGUAUGGGGACGCUACAGUCACACGCUCGCGGCGCGGACCGGCGCUGGCCGACCCCCCUAACCAUUCUACGGUUUGACCUCGGAUCAGGUAGGGAUACCCGCUGAACUUAAGCAUAUCAAUAAGCGGAG
rnacentral:misc_RNA from 1 species